UACGUAGGGGGCAAGCGUUGUCCGGAUUUAUUGGGCGUAAAGAGCGUGUAGGCGGUUUGGUAGGUCUGUUGUGAAAACUCGAGGCUCAACCUCGAGACGCCGAUGGAAACCAUCAGACUAGAGUCCGGAAGAGGAGAGUGGAAUUCCUGGUGUAGCGGUGAAAUGCGCAGAUAUCAGGAAGAACACCCGUGGCUAAGGCGGCUCUCUAGGACGGUACUGACGCUGAGACGCGAAAGCGUGGGGAGCGAACAGG
rnacentral:rRNA from 1 species